rnacentral:rRNA from 1 species
AGUGAACGCUGGCGGUAGGCCUAACACAUGCAAGUCGAACGGCAGCACAGUAAGAGCUUGCUCUUACGGGUGGCGAGUGGCGGACGGGUGAGGAAUACAUCGGAAUCUACUUUUUCGUGGGGGAUAACGUAGGGAAACUUACGCUAAUACCGCAUACGACCUACGGGUGAAAGCAGGGGAUCUUCGGAACUUGCGCGAUUGAAUGAGCCGAUGUCGGAUUAGCUAGUUGGCGGGGUAAAGGCCCACCAAGGCGACGAUCCGUAGCUGGUCUGAGAGGAUGAUCAGGCACAAUGGAACUGAGACACGGUCCAGACUCCUACGGGAGGCAGCAGUGGGGAAUAUUGGACAAUGGGCGCAAGCCUGAUCCAGCCAUACCGCGUGGGUGAAGAAGGCCUUCGGGUUGUAAAGCCCUUUUGUUGGGAAAGAAAAGCAGCAGGUUAAUACCCCGCUGUUCUGACGGUACCCAAAGAAUAAGCACCGGCUAACUUCGUG